UUGAACGCUGGCGGCAGGCCUAACACAUGCAAGUCGAGCGCGAAAGGUUUUCGGACUGAGUAAAGCGGCGGACGGGUGAGUAACGCGUGGGAAUCUGCCCAGUAGUGGGGGACAACAGUCGGAAACGACUGCUAAUACCGCAUACGCCCUACGGGGGAAAGGGGGGGAUCUUCGGACCUCUCGCUAUUGGAUGAGCCCGCGUCGGAUUAGCUAGUUGGUAGGGUAAAGGCCUACCAAGGCUACGAUCCGUAACUGGUCUGAGAGGAUGAUCAGUCACACUGGAACGGAGACACGGUCCAGACUCCUACGGGAGGCAGCAGUGGGGAAUAUUGGACAAUGGGGGCAACCCUGAUCCAGCCAUGCCGCGUGUGUGAAGAAGGCCUUAGGGUUGUAAAGCACUUUCAGUGGGGAGAAAGGCUUGUCACCUAAUACGUGAUGAAAUUGAUGUUACCCACAGAAGAAGCACCGGCUAACUCCGUGCCAGCAGCCGCGGUAA
rnacentral:rRNA from 1 species